GACAGAGGCGGGUCACGUGACGGCGACCGACCACGUGACCGAGGAGAGGCGUUUCUGUAGCCUGAGAGAUUGUAGCGCUUCGCCGCACGUUUAACAGCAGGAAUGCUGCAUUCUAACCGUUAACCAGCAACGACAAACGGACAUUUGGAAAUAAACACGCACUUUACAAGCUUCUUGUCCUAAAAUGAAGGAUUAUGGGAGCCAAAGAAUCCAAGAUUGGCUUCCUGUCCUACGACGAGGCCGUCAAGAGAGUGACGGAUGUGGAAUUGAAGCGACUGAAGGAUGCCUUCAAGAGAACCAGCGGCCUGUCCUUUUACAUGACUCAGCAGUGCUUCUACAGGGAAGUGCUGGGAGAUGGAGUUCCACAAAAAGUUGCAGAAGUGAUCUACACUUCGUUUGGGGGUACUUCUAAAGGACUUCACUUCAAUAAUCUUGUGGUGGGUCUGGUGUUGCUGACACGGGGACGGAAUGAGGAGAAGGCAAAGUACCUCUUCAGUCUGUUCACCAGUGAUGCGGGUGGAUACGCUGCCAGGGAAGACAUUGAAGCAGUGCUACACGUUUUGGAUGGAGAAGUCCCCGCCUCGCUUAGGAAGUGCUUUAGCGAGGGGGAUAAGGUGAAUUAUGAGCACUUCAGGGACUGGCUGUUACAGAACAAAGAAGCCUUCACUUUGUCCAGAUGGCUUCUUUCUGGAGGAGUUUGUGUCACGCUGACUGAUGACAGCGACACACCAACCUUCUACCAGACCCUGGCAGGGGUCACACAUUUGGAGGAAUCGGACAUUAUCGACUUGGAGAAGCGUUACUGGCUGCUGAAAGCCCAGUCAAGAACGGGCCGCUUUGAUUUAGAAACCUUCAUCCCGCUGGUGUCUCCUCCUAUCCAUCCCUCCUUAUGUGAAGGUUUAUUUCAUGCCUUUGAUGAGAAUCGGGACAACCACAUUGACUUUAAAGAAAUAUCUUGUGGACUGUCAGCCUGCUGUCGGGGGCCUAUUGCAGAAAGGCAGAAAUUUUGCUUCAAAGUGUUUGAUCUGGACCGCGAUGGAGUCCUAUCAUGUAACGAACUCCAUCAGAUGGUGCUGGCCUUGCUGGAGGUGUGGAAGGACAAUCGCACUGACGCACUUCCUGAGCUCGGCUGUGGUGCGUCAGAUAUAGUGGAGGGCAUCUUGAAAGUGCAUGACACGACCAAACUGGGCUGCCUGACCUUGGAGGACUAUCAAAUCUGGAGUGUGGCGAACGCUUUGGCUACUGAAUUUUUAAAUCUUCUCUUCCAGGUUUGCCACAUUGUUCUGGGGCUCAGACCUGCUUCUCCAGAAGAGGAAGGGCAAAUUAUCAGGGGUUGGCUGGAGAGGGAAAACAGACGAGGGCUGCAGCAUGGCCACAGCUGGUUUCUCAUAUCUACACUAUGGUGGCAGCAGUGGAAGGACUACACUAAUUAUGAGCCAAAGGGCGUUGCUGUGGAGCAGCAAUCCAUCCUGAGCGCACUGCAAAGUCGGAUGUCAGCAGCCACGUCUGCAGACAGAUUUGACGGGCUGGGAACCAUGAGCCCUGUAACCCAAAUAUCUUUGGAUGCUAUGGCAAGUGCAUCAGAUGCUACAGAAAUAGCCAAUGGGCACCUCUCCCAUCAGGCAGCACAAAGGCCGGGGGCCAUUGACAAUCAGGCUUUGGUUGCAACUGAGCCUACCAAGGCUCCGACAUUGACCAUGGAGGGUGGUCGGCUGAAGCGCUGCUUGCGGAAUGAUCGAGACUUUAAGAUUGUGCCAGAGCCAGUGUGGCGGGCACUUUACCACUGGUAUGGUGCCAAUCUCAGCCUGCCACGACCCGUCAUCUUGGAUAGCAAGACUGCCCAAGCAGAACUGGAGCUUUUCCCUUGCUACCUCCUCUUCCUACGCCAUCAGUCAGCCACACGCUCCUCUUCCCAGUCCAACAUCUGGCUCAAUAUGGGUAACGUGCCAUCCCCUAACAUUCCUCUGAAGCGGGUGUUGGUCUACACAGCCUGCUUUAGCCGUAUGGCCACCAUCAAGGACAUCCAUGUCUACCUGUCUCAGAGGCUUCGCAUCAAGGAGGAAACCAUUAGACUGUGGUUAUAUAACAGUGAGAACUACCUCACGCUGCUGGACGAUGAAGAUCAUACGCUUGAAAAUUUAAAGAUCCAGGAUGAGCAGCAGCUAGUUAUUGAAAUCAGGAACAAAGACAUGAGCUGGCCUGAAGAGAUGUCUUUCAUUACCAACAGCAGUAAGAUGGAAAGGCAUAAAGUACCCACAGAGAAAGGAGCCACUGGCCUCAGUAACCUUGGCAACACCUGUUUCAUGAAUUCGAGUAUUCAGUGUGUGAGCAAUACCAGGCCUCUCACAGACUACUUCAUCUCGGGGAGACACCUCUAUGAGCUCAACAGAUCCAACCCCAUCGGCAUGCGAGGUCACAUGGCGAAAUGUUACGGUGAUCUGGUGAUGGAGCUGUGGAGCGGGACACAGAAGAACGUGGCUCCACUCAAACUCAGGUGGACAAUAGCAAAGUAUGCUCCUCGAUUCAACGGCUUCCAGCAGCAGGAUUCCCAGGAGCUGCUGGCAUUUUUGCUUGAUGGCCUCCACGAAGACCUAAACAGAGUCCAUGAGAAGCCGUACGUGGAGCUCAAAGACAGCGAUGGGCGGCCCGACUGGGAGGUGGCCUCUGAGGCAUGGGAGAAUCACCUGCGCAGGAACCGUUCUAUCGUGGUGGAUCUGUUCCACGGUCAGCUCAAGUCCCAAGUCAAGUGCAAGACCUGCGGUCACAUCAGCUCACGUUUUGACCCGUUCAACUUCUUGUCCCUGCCCCUACCGAUGGAUAGCUCCAUGCAUCUGGAGAUAACGGUCAUUAAACUGGACGGUUCCACUCCUGUGCGCUACGGCUUGAGGUUAAACAUGGACGAGAAAUACACAGGACUCAAGAAGCUGCUGAGCGAACUGUGCAGUCUGAAGCCUGAACAGAUUCUUCUGGCUGAGGUUCAUGGUGCCAACAUUAAGAAUUUUCCACAGGAUCACCAAAAGGUCCGUCUGACUGUGAGCACCUUCUUGUGUGCCUUUGAGAUCCCGGUGCCAGGCUCGCCAACAUCACUAAGCAAUCCCAAACUGGCAGAAUUCAGUACUGUAGCCAACGGCUCAGCAUCUACGGGUCACCUAGACAUGGAGCCUAGUUUGACGUGCAGUGAAGGAGCGGUUACUGUGGUCAGCAAUCCAGAACCAACCCUGGUCAAUGGGUUCACUAACGGACACAACGCAGCAGUGCAUGAAAGUCCUGUCACUGGUUACAUCAUUGCCAUGCACAGAAAGAUGAUGCGGACGGAGCUUUACUUCUUAUCAUCCCAGAAGAACCGGCCGAGUCUGUUUGGCAUGCCACUGAUUGUUCCCUGCACCGUCCACACGACCAAGAAGAACCUGUACGAUGCUGUGUGGAUGCAAGUGUCCCGACUGGUCAGCCCAUUGCCCCCGCAGGAUUCUAGCAACCAUGCCCAGGACUGUGACGACAGCUUGGGCUACCAGUACCCAUUCACUUUGCGGGUUGUGGACAAAGACGGUACCUCAUGUGCCUUGUGCCCUUGGUAUAGGUUCUGUAGAGGCUGCAUCGUUGUGUGUACAGAAGACAGAGCCUCCAUAGGGAACGCUUACAUUUCUGUGGACUGGGAUCCCACUGCCCUGCACCUACGCUACCAGACCUCACAGGAGAGAAUUGUGGUGGAACACUGCAGCGUGGAGCUGUCACGCCGGAGCCAGACCGAGCCCAUCAGUCUGGAAAGCUGUCUGAAGGCCUUCACCAGUGAGGAAGAGCUGGGGGAAGAUGAGCUCUAUUAUUGCUCCAAGUGCAAGACCCAUCGACUGGCCACAAAGAAGCUGGACCUCUGGAGGCUUCCACCGAUACUGAUUGUCCACCUGAAGCGCUUCCACUUUGUCAAUGGUCGUUGGAUCAAAUCCCAAAAGAUUGUUAAGUUCCCAAGGGAGGAGUUUGACCCCAGCACCUUCUUGGUUCCCAGAGACCUUGACCAGUGCUUCCUACAUUCACACCCUUCUCCUGCCCUGAGCAGAGAGUCGCCAUCUUCCCUGAGCAGGAGCAGCAGCCCCUCGACCAGCCCCAAGGCUAUCAGCGCAAGCCACAAGCUAUGUCAACAUCUGCCCCAGCUGAGCAGCAGACACGGCCUCUCAGAUAGCAAUGAGUGCCUGCAGGAAGCUGCUGAGGCUGAGCCACAGGACCAGAGACUACAGGAUGGGGCUUCCAGAAGUACACCUGCAAGAGAGGAGCCGGAACAGCCGCUUGUAGCAUACGAUUCCACUAGGCACACUGAUGUGAUCAGGAUAAACGGCUUAACCACAGACUGCAGCACAGACAGCCCUUUGAUGCCCUGCAAAGAAAGCAAGUGUUUGGACUCCAUCUACAACCUCUAUGCAAUAUCAUGCCAUUCAGGAAUUAUGGGUGGAGGCCACUAUGUAACCUACGCCAAAAACCCCAAUGGGAAAUGGUACUGUUACAAUGAUAGCAGCUGUAAGGAAGUGCAUUCCGCAGAGAUCGACGCCGACUCGGCCUACAUCCUCUUCUACGAGCAACAGGAAGUCAAUUAUUCCCAGUUCCUGCCAAGGACUGACGGCAAGAAGAUGGCCGACACCAGUAGCAUGGAUGAGGACUUUGAGUCGGACUACAAGAAAUACUGUGUCCUCCAAUGAUGCAGUACAUCUUCAACGAGCAAGUACCCUUCCUCUCCACAAGCACCAGUCCUUACCUUGAGGGAUUCUACCUGACUGGAAGGAUGCAAAGCAAACUUUUAAAGACAAUAACGCCUGAGUGACAGCACUGGACUGAUUGCGCACUUUGCCAAGUCCCCACCCCCACGCCCCCUUGUACAUUUCCUACCCUAAUUUAUGGAAACCCUCUUUCAGGCGUUGCCUGAGGAGCCAAGUGUGAAUUUCAUCUCAACCGGAGACCAGAAAAGGAGAACAGAAAACAAACUUCCAAGAGAGCCCGACAGGUAAAUGUCCUUUUUUUUUUUUUUUUUUUUUUUUUUUUACUGCCGAGUCAUCAAAGAAGAACACAUGGCUUCAGUCUUAUCUCCACUAGAUCUACACACAUUACACUAGAUCCCUAGAUCCUCGCUAUUCUAUUCAAUGUCUAUUUUGACACCUUAACACAAACCAACAGAGUUCAUCAAACCAAACGCCUCCCUCACUCACGGUGCAACAAAAAUAACACGCAAUGUAAUGGUGUGGAAAUAAAUGCUUACAUGCUAAUACACAUGCACAACAUUACUAUUUUAUGCAAGUAUAUAGCCCGCAACGCAUGCUGGCUAACUUCCUGUUGGAGAGGUGUGCUGAUGGGCUUCCUAACAUACCUUGCGGGUUACAAAUGGGUGCACAACGGCAUUGUUUUGCAUGUAUGGUAGUGUGGACGUGGCUGCUGUGACACCCACAUGGGUUCCAGUACAUUAUGUGUUCCACGUUAUUUUGGUUGCACCGAGAGUGAGGUCGGCGUUUGCCGUCAAUUAUGGAGAUUGUAAGCACAAAAUGACAGGUGUUCCCAACAAAUAAAAACAUAAUGUUGUCUGCAAAGGCAUGAAUAUGCGGGGAUCAUAUGCUAUACAGUGUACUUUUCACUCUACAUAGAGAUACACAUAAAUACUAUACAGUGUACAAUAUCACUCUACACAGAGAGUAGAAAUACACAUAAAUACUAUACGGUGUACUUUAUCACUCUACAUAGAGAGUAUAAAUGCACAUGGAUACUAUCCGGUGUACUUUGUUGCUCUAUGCAGAGAGCACGUGCAUUUUAUUAUUUUUUAUUUAUGAAUCCCAGAAUGUAAAUCAAGUGUGCAGUCUGUUGUAUAUUUUAGUUGAACACUGCAAGGAGUGAGGGGACGCAAACGCGUGUACUCUUCAACUGUGAGUAUUGUUGGGGGUGGUGCCUCGCUCAAGGUCACACACUAUCUCUCCAAUUCCAACCACAAAACCCUUUGGUUCCAAAACCCAAGUCCUUCCGUUUGAGCAGGGGUUAAAAAAAAAUGUCCAUCCACAUCAGUGUAGUAAAAAAAAAAAAAAGUCCGCAUAAAAAACACAUUCACCACCUGUCAUCUUCAUUCAUCAGAAGCCUCAGCUCAUCAAUAUAGUGAUACAUGAUAUGUCAAAUCAUCAAUAUAGUCAUAUACUGUAUUUAUUACAUGUACAGUAUAUGUCAAAUCGUGUACAUGGAUCCCAGGAAACAACAAGAAUGUUUUUUUUAAUGGUGUGUGUUAGUAAGUAAGUCUAGCACUACAUGAGAUAAAACCAGUGUGUGGACAAAACACAGAAAAAUAUGCAUUUUUUUUUAGCUCCACUGGUGUAGAUGGAGGUGAUUUUUAACAGCGGACUGGGAAAAUGUGAUUAUUGUAGUAUAUAUGGUGUUUGUGUGGACACUGUGUGAGUCCCAGCCCUCCAUGGCUGGAUCAGAGACCCUGGUGGCGUUUCAUAAAAGUUAUAUUGAUGCAUUUUGUUGCAGCAAGGACACCAUGAUGCAAGCAGUGUCAUAAAAACAAGAUUUGAAUGACUUUGUUGGAGACAUCAAUCAUCCUGAUGGGGGUGAUCGUGUACAUAAAAUGUUUCUUAUAUUGAAAUCAUUCUUAACAAUGCAUCAUUUCAAUCCAUACGUCUGAAGCUUCCCUUUCUUUUCAACCUAAAGUCUUUCCUCUAGGUUUACAGCUGUAAGGGGUGGGGCAUUGACGCAAACACGCACAAGGGGCGCAUUGAGCAAACUAACCCCACACAAACUGUGCACGUGGAUUAAUACAACUUGAAAUAACGCUUCAUGAAUUGAUUUUAUCUGUCAAAGUGAGCCAUCAAAGUCAAGUGGGCGAAUCUCGUCAAACGAUUGCUUUGGCCUGAUGCCUGGAAGUCUUCCAGAACAUGGCGGCUAAGGAGGAUAUGCCCCAACUUGUCUGCUUAGACAUUGCGGGACCCGCUGACCCACAGCAUGUAGACGUUAAAGUAGAAGACUUUUUUUUUUAUUUAUUUUAAACUUUCUGGUGAAGAUAUUGAGCGUAGAAUAACUGGAAAUAUAGAAGUUCUCCACUGUUUUCAGUGAGAAAAGUAGCUAUUGGCUGUCCUAGAUGUCGCUAGAUGAUGUCAUGUAAUUUGCAUAUUAUUUGCAUAAUGAUGUAAAAUAGUGUAAGAAAAAAGCAUAACCUCAUAGGAGAGUCAAAAAAAAAAGUAAAAACACC